rnacentral:rRNA from 1 species
UACGUAGGGGGCAAGCGUUGUCCGGAUUUAUUGGGCGUAAAGAGCUCGUAGGCGGUUCCGUAAGUCGUGAAGUCAAAUCUCUGGGCUCAACCCAGAAUCGCUUCCUAUACUGCGGUGACUGGAGUCCGGUAGGGGAGUGUGGAAUUCCUGGUGUAGCGGUGAAAUGCGCAGAUAUCAGGAGGAACACCAACAGCGAAGGCAGCACUCUGGGCCGGUACUGACGCUGAGGAGCGAAAGCAUGGGGAGCGAACAGG